ACUUGUUGUUGUCGAGUUUGUUGAGAAUUACAAAUUUAUAAAUAAAAUGAUCAUUUAUUAUUUUAUACAGAGCUCAAAGAAAACGUCAGGCUCUACAACAACUCGAUGGAAAUAUCGAAAACCAAGAUUUAGCCUUUGAAAAUUGUCAGCCAGCCUCGAACGUGCGAUGUCACUCAAGCUCAAAGAAAACGACAGGCUCUACAACAACUUGAUGGAAAUAUCAUAAACAAAGAUUUAGCCUUUGAAAAUUGUCAGCCUUGAACGUGCGAUGUCACUCAAACUAUCUACAAAGAAGUUUCACAAACCGAGGAUUUACUUGUGCAUAUGGAACAUAAGGAAAAAAAACAACGGGUUGCUCUCCGGGAGUGCCGACAGAAGUGAAAACUCAAUGACUAGUCCAAAAUGUCUGCAGCACUGUGUAUAAUUGACCCAUUCUCCUUUCUAUUUAAAAACUUUAGUUCCGAAAUUGCUGGCCAGUGAGCUAAAAUUUGUAGCGUUAAUUGUUUAAAAUUCGAAUAAAUUGUAAAGUUACCUUGCAGACCUCGCAUCUAAAUAUAUUUGGUCAUGAUACUCAUGAUGUUUUGAGUUUUAUUCACCAGUACUAGAGUUCACUUUUAUUAGCGAUUUCAUCAAGAUGUAGCUUUAUUGAAUUAUAUUUGAGUGAUAUAAAGUUAGGAUGUAACUGUGAGAUCCUCGUAUUUCAGGCCGUACAAGAUUAGAACAUUGAGCUUUAUUGCUUAAUAUAAAAGUCCAGUUUUAAAUAAGUGACCUGAUUAUGAUACGUUAUGACUAAAGUUCUUUGGUAAAUAACAUUGUCCGUGACACAUGACGUCAGCGUUACGUUACGCGUUACGCUGUAUCGAGUUUAUCAUUUUUUCCCCACCUCAAAAAGUGCUCAGCGCCGCUAAAGAAGUUUUCACUUCAAUUAAAUGAGACACAGCCAAAUAAUGGGAUUAAUUCUAGCGAUAGUCAGGGAUCAGAUAGUCAAGAA